GCUCCGUGUCCGCAGGCCCCUGCCUGCAAUGCCGCCCAACUUUCCAAACUCAUUAGGCUUUGUGUCCAGUUGGUGGUGACUUCACCGCGGAACAGAAGCGGACCUGGUGGCAAAGUUUGGGGCAGCACCGCCUUCAGCAAACGGGAACGCUGACUUUUCCCCUACAAACAUCUCAUUGGGCUACUGACCUACUUUGGAAGUUCCACAUUUGACAGUGAAUAAAUGUCUUCUAAAUUCUACUGUACUUCUUAAACCACGGGUGUUCAAAGCAUGGUCAGAGCAAAACAAAGCUCCAGCAAUUGCUCUCAGCUUCGAUCCUUACUGAGUUUCCUUCAGGUUUGGUGUACAGUGUGGAAAUUUGAUAAAGGCCGAUCUGAGACAAGCUGAGAUGUCAAAGCACCGCGCCCGGCCCUGGUGGCACGUCGCCGGCACCUUUCUCAACACUGGGGUUUAUUUAACAUUCUGCCAGCGGGUGGAUACACGGCGGGAGCCGCGUCGCGCGCAGACGAGCCCUCUUGACAGCACAGAAUUUAUUUUUUUUCAGUAG
rnacentral:lncRNA from 1 species